GUAGGUGGCAAGCGUUGUCCGGAAUUAUUGGGCGUAAAGCGCGCGCAGGCGGUUCUUUAAGUCUGAUGUGAAAGCCCACGGCUCAACCGUGGAGGGUCAUUGGAAACUGGAGAACUUGAGUACAGAAGAGGAAAGCGGAAUUCCACGUGUAGCGGUGAAAUGCGUAGAGAUGUGGAGGAACACCAGUGGCGAAGGCGGCUUUCUGUCUGUAACUGACGCUGAGGCGCGAAAGCGUGGGGAGCAAACGGGGGAUUAGAUACCCUGGUAGUCCACGCCGUAAACGAUGAGUGCUAAGUGUUAGGGGGUUUCCCGCCCCUUAGUGCUGCAGCUAACGCAUUAAGCACUCCGCCUGGGGAGUACGGCCGCAAGGCUG
rnacentral:rRNA from 1 species